GACGAACGCUGGCGGCGUGCUUAACACAUGCAAGUCGAACGGAAAGGCCCUGCUUUUGUGGGGUGCUCGAGUGGCGAACGGGUGAGUAACACGUGAGUAACCUGCCCUUGACUUUGGGAUAACUUCAGGAAACUGGGGCUAAUACCGGAUAGGAGCUCCUGCUGCAUGGUGGGGGUUGGAAAGUUUCGGCGGUUGGGGAUGGACUCGCGGCUUAUCAGCUUGUUGGUGGGGUAGUGGCUUACCAAGGCUUUGACGGGUAGCCGGCCUGAGAGGGUGACCGGCCACAUUGGGACUGAGAUACGGCUCAGACUCCUACGGGAGGCAGCAGUGGGGAAUAUUGCACAAUGGGCGGAAGCCUGAUGCAGCAACGCCGCGUGCGGGAUGACGGCCUUCGGGUUGUAAACCGCUUUCGCCUGUGACGAAGCGUGAGUGACGGUAAUGGGUAAAGAAGCACCGGCUAACUACGUGCCAGCAGCCGCGGUGAUACGUAGGGUGCGAGCGUUGUCCGGAUUUAUUGGGCGUAAAGGGCUCGUAGGUGGUUGAUCGCGUCGGAAGUGUAAUCUUGGGGCUUAACCCUGAGCGUGCUUUCGAUACGGGUUGACUUGAGGAAGGUAGGGGAGAAUGGAAUUCCUGGUGGAGCGGUGGAAUGCGCAGAUAUCAGGAGGAACACCAGUGGCGAAGGCGGUUCUCUGGGCCUUUCCUGACGCUGAGGAGCGAAAGCGUGGGGAGCGAACAGGCUUAGAUACCCUGGUAGUCCACGCUGUAAACGGUGGGUACUAGGUGUGGGGUCCAUUCCACGGGUUCCGUGCCGUAGCUAACGCUUUAAGUACCCCGCCUGGGGAGUACGGCCGCAAAGCUAAAACUCAAAGGAAUUGACGGGGCCCCGCACAAGCGGCGGAGCAUGCGGAUUAAUUCGAUGCAACGCGUAGAACCUUACCUGGGUUUGACAUGGAUCGGGAGUGCUCAGAGAUGGGUGUGCCUCUUUUGGGGUCGGUUCACAGGUGGUGCAUGGCUGUCGUCAGCUCGUGUCGUGAGAUGUUGGGUUAAGUCCCGCAACGAGCGCAACCCUUGUUCACUGUUGCCAGCACGUUAUGGUGGGGACUCAGUGGAGACCGCCGGGGUCAACUCGGAGGAAGGUGGGGAUGACGUCAAGUCAUCAUGCCCCUUAUGUCCAGGGCUUCACGCAUGCUACAAUGGCUGGUACAGAGAGUGGCGAGCCUGUGAGGGUGAGCGAAUCUCGGAAAGCCGGUCUCAGUUCGGAUUGGGGUCUGCAACUCGACCUCAUGAAGUCGGAGUCGCUAGUAAUCGCAGAUCAGCAACGCUGCGGUGAAUACGUUCCC
rnacentral:rRNA from 1 species